UAAAAAAAUCGACAUAGUUGCUGUUUCGCGGUGACAUUCGUCGGAAAUUGGGUCAUCUUAAACCUUUUGGUGUUUUUAAGCGGCUUAAAAUUUUCUUUACGAUUCCACGAACGUUUCUAAGAUUUAUUUCUUACACGUUUAAGGUAAUCGAUCUUUAUUAGACGUGACCGUCGCAUCGGAUCGCGUCCAUAAAUAUUUCGUUAA
rnacentral:misc_RNA from 1 species